rnacentral:rRNA from 1 species
CUACGGGUGGCACCAGUGGGGAAUAUUGGACAAUGGGGGAAACCCUGAUCCAGCAAUGCCGCGUGUGUGAAGAAGGCCUGCGGGUUGUAAAGCACUUUCGGUUGGGAGGACUGCUUCUAGCACUAAUAUUGUUGGAAGUUGACGUUACCUUCAGAAGAAGCACCGGCUAACUCCGUGCCAGCAGCCGCGGUAAUACGGAGGGUGCAAGCGUUAAUCGGAAUUACUGGGCGUAAAGCGCGCGUAGGCGGCUAGAUCAGUCGGGUGUGAAAGCCCCGGGCUUAACCUGGGAACUGCAUCCGAGACUGCCUAGCUUGAGUACAGGAGAGGAGAGUGGAAUUCCACAUGUAGCGGUGAAAUGCGUAGAUAUGUGGAGGAACACCAAUGGCGAAGGCAGCUCUCUGGCCUGAUACUGACGCUGAGGUGCGAAAGCGUGGGGAGCAGACAGGAUUAGAUACCCCCGUAGUC